UUCAGAAAGCUCCACAGAUGGUUUAGCAGAGUAGCGUGCGCAAGUCCACAUGGGACAGUUAUUACAACUUUGAGUCCACACUGGACUGAAGUGGUCAAGAGUACCUGUUAUUAUGUCCUCUGGCAAGGAAGCGUGAAGACAUACUGAGCCUGGGGACUCUGCUCUGCUCAGCUGUGGACAGACAUCAAGUAUUAUUAAAAAAACAAAAAGGAUGAUGGAGACAGUGGCAAAGAAAGGUGAAAACACUCAGUGACAGAGAGCACAAGAAAGAGAAUAAAGAACAGAGGAGGUAACGUGAGUCCAUGGGAGUCACCAGAAGUACUGAGGACAUGACUGUUUCUCACCUGUCGCCUGACACAGAGAUCAAAUGCUUGCAGUCAUUGAGUGUCCAAACAUGGUGGCGACACACUCCCCUGUGAAGAAGUCAAAGAUGCUGAUGUUUUUAUCGGAGCAGCUGGUGGCCACAUAUUGACCAGAUGGAUCAAGCUGAACCUGUCAGGACAAAAACAGUUUUACCAUCAACAUGCUGUUUAUAUUUAUACAAUACCUGACACUUUUGAGUUUUUGAACAGUGACUGUGAACGAAAAUGUUACCCUGAGCAGACUGCCAUCCUCACUCACAGAUCCCUUGUAGAGUUUCUUCUGUUUGCCACUGCUGAUGUUGAA